rnacentral:tRNA from 2 species
GGUCAAGUGGUUAAGACACCGCCCUUUCACGGCGGUAACACGGGUUCGAAUCCCGUA